UUAGGCUCCAAGUCUUACCUGCCUCCCAAUCUGUACCCUUUUUCCUUUCUUCCAUAAAGCAAACAAGUAUUGGGUUACAUACAGGGUCUGUCCCACACCCCAUUAUGAAAAUAUAUUUUAUCACAAGGAAGGCCCCCCAGGAUUCCAAACUACCAUUAUGAGGUCAUCUGGAAUUGAGGCCAUCUACCAAAGGCGUUCUGUGCUCACCCAGUCCCAAGACUUACAGAAAUAUCCCUUGGCACCCCCACACUUGUCCCUCCAAGUUUUUAUCUUGUUCUUAUGGCCUGGACAAACAUAAAAAUGGAGUUUGUGGAUAAAGCUGUCUACCCUGCCAUUCUGAAUUAAUGAUUUGAGAUUGAAGUGAUGUCUGCUGCAUUCUUAAUGCAAACCCCACUGAGGAAAAGAUACUUGGAAGUAGAUCAUCAGGCUUGGUGUCAGCAAGUCCCAUUGCGGGAAGAAACGUUCGUGAAGAAAGUGGUGGUGCCAAUCACACAGUGAGGCUAUUGAGGGAGUUCAGCAACAGUUGGCCUCAGCCCAGGGACCUGGAUUGAAUACUGGAAACACG